UACAGAGGUCCCAAGCGUUGUCCGGAUUCAUUGGGCGUAAAGAGCUCGUAGGCGGCUGUUCAAGUCGAACGUGAAAACUCGGAGCUCAACUCCGAGCCUGCAUUCGAUACGGGCAGACUAGAGUUCGGUAGGGGAGUCUGGAAUUCCUGGUGUAGCGGUGAAAUGCGCAGAUAUCAGGAGGAACACCGGUGGCGAAGGCGGGACUCUGGGCCGAUACUGACGCUGAGGAGCGAAAGCGUGGGGAGCAAACAGG
rnacentral:rRNA from 1 species